CCUUAAAAUUUGAAGGUUUUUAAUUCAUCUAAGAAUCUUUGCUUUGUAGAGGAUUCAUAUUAUAUACUUGAAUGUUAAGCAACCUCUAUUUCUUUCCUUUCUGAUUGUGUACGUAACAAAUUAGAUCAAGAUAUGGAGAAAGAAGAAAAUGAAGAAGAUGAUGAUGGUGUGAUCAAAGAAUUGCACUCUCUUGUUCCCUGAUGUGAAGAGAGAUGAAGAAAAAGGCAAGUCAUGAAGGCAUAGGGAAGGUAACGCCUUUCUUCCAGGAUCGAUUCAUGUAACUGGACAUGUACUAUGGUCAAGCAUGUACUUAGUUAUAUAUGUGUAACACAACAAGGAUUAAUUUUGUUUUAUUGGUCUUAAAUAUGUAGUAAUUGUGUUUCUGUUCUGUUUUAAAACAGUGUAGUGUGCUUGUUGUGUGGUUUGCUAUCUAUGGUCACUAUUUAUGUUAAGUUUAUUUUUCUAAAUAUGUAAUUUGGAAUCAUAUAUGAUUUUAUGUUUCUUGUUAAUUUUCAUGAAUGUUUCAUGUAAUUUUUUUUGUAACCUUCUGGUUUUCCAAGAAAAGAACCACGAAGUAAGUAAAAUCUGAC
rnacentral:lncRNA from 1 species